rnacentral:rRNA from 1 species
AUGUGGAGCCGUAGCGAAAGCGAGUCUGAAUAGGGCGAAUGAGUAUUUGGUCGUAGACCCGAAACCAGGUGAUCUACCCUUGGUCAGGUUGAAGUUCAGGUAACACUGAAUGGAGGACCGAACCGACUUACGUUGAAAAGUGAGCGGAUGAACUGAGGGUAGCGGAGAAAUUCCAAUCGAACUUGGAGAUAGCUGGUUCUCUCCGAAAUAGCUUUAGGGCUAGCCUCAAGUGAUGAUUAUUGGAGGUAGAGCACUGUUUGGACGAGGGGCCCCUCUCGGGUUACCGAAUUCAGACAAACUCCGAAUGCCAAAUAAUUUAACUUGGGAGUCAGAAUGUGGGUGAUAAGGUCCAUAUUCGAAAGGGAAACAGCCCAGACCACCAGCUAAGGUCCCAAAAUAUAUGUUAAGUGGAAAAGGAUGUGGCGUUGCCCAGACAACUAGGAUGUUGGCUUAGAAGCAGCCAUCAUUUAAAGAGUGCGUAAUAGCUCACUAGUCGAGUGACACUGCGCCGAAAAUGUACCGGGGCUAAACAUAUUACCGAAGCUGUGGAUUGUCCUUUGGACAAUGGUAGGAGAGCGUUCUAAGGGCGUUGAAGCAUGAUCGCAAGGACAUGUGGAGCGCUUAGAAGUGAGAAUGCCGGUGUGAGUA